rnacentral:rRNA from 1 species
ACCUGGUUGAUUCUGCCAGUAGUCAUAUGCUUGUCUCAAAGAUUAAGCCAUGCAUGUCUAAGUAUAAGCAAUUACAAAGCGAAACUGCGAAUGGCUCAUUAUAUAAGUUAUCGUUUAUUUGAUAGUACCUUACUACAUGGAUAACCGUGGUAAU